rnacentral:lncRNA from 1 species
AGACGGCUCAUCGGACGAGCGGUGGGUGGUGGUGGUUCAGUGGCCAAGAGGUGGUAGUGAGUAGGGCGUGGGGCCGCGAUGUGGUGGUGGAUGAAGCAGCAGCCAGCAAGAGGAAGGAAGAGGAAGAAGAAGAAGAAGAAGAAGAGAAGGGGUGGUGUUUUGGUCGAGAGAGGGGGAAAGAGAAGAGAGAGAGAGAGAAGAAAAGAAAA